rnacentral:rRNA from 1 species
UACGGGGGGUGCAAGCGUUACUCGGAAUCAUUGGGCGUAAAGGGCGCGCAGGCGGCCUGGUAAGUCAGGUGUGAAAGCCCGGGGCUCAACCCCGGAAGUGCAUUUGAAACUGUCAGGCUUGAGUAUGGGAGAGGGAAGUGGAAUUCCUGGUGUAGAGGUGAAAUUCGUAGAUAUCAGGAGGAACACCGGUGGCGAAGGCGACUUCCUGGACCAAUACUGACGCUGAGGCGCGAAGGCGUGGGGAG